rnacentral:rRNA from 1 species
GACGAACGCUGGCGGCGUGCUUAACACAUGCAAGUCGAACGGAAAGGCCCUGCUUUUGUGGGGUGCUCGAGUGGCGAACGGGUGAGUAACACGUGAGUAACCUGCCCUUGACUUUGGGAUAACUUCAGGAAACUGGGGCUAAUACCGGAUAGGAGCUCCUGCUGCAUGGUGGGGGUUGGAAAGUUUCGGCGGUUGGGGAUGGACUCGCGGGUUAUCAGCUUGUUGGUGGGGUAGUGGCUUACCAAGGCUUUGGCGGGUAGCCGGCCUGAGAGGGUGACCGGCCACAUUGGGACUGAGAUACGGCCCAGACUCCUACGGGAGGCAGCAGUGGGGAAUAUUGCACAAUGGGCGGAAGCCUGAUGCAGCAACGCCGCGUGCGGGAUGACGGCCUUCGGGUUGUAAACCGCUUUCGCCUGUGACGAAGCGUGAGUGACGGUAAUGGGUAAAGAAGCACCGGCUAACUACGUG